rnacentral:lncRNA from 1 species
UCUUAAUUUUGCACAACCAAAGGAAAUGAAGCCUGAAACAUCAACAAGGUUGCUAGGAUUUCUAGAUUAAUCCACCAUGAAUUGCGCCUUUGAGAUGCUGAUGCCCAUUUUUAGUGAUAACAUGUGUCAUAGCUGGAACCCCGAAUCCGGCUCAUGCCCUCUUUCCAUGAUCAAUACAAAUUCGUAUUCUCAACCCCAGCCACCAAGCUGAUGACAAACAACCAAAGUUGAGCAAUGUAUACCGACCACGAAACAUUCACCCAGGUUUUCUCAAGUUUGUUUAAGAUAUAGUUGAGCAAUGUUUUUUUAGUUGUAUAGUAUGACAAGUGACAGUAAGUUGAAAUAAAUCAUAAAUUACCAUCUCAUAUUUCAUUGUACAUUAACAAAACAAAGCUUAGAUCUUGGUCUCUGGGUCAAACAGCUCAUGGU